UCAGAGAAUAGUUAAAUUCAGAAUCCUAGCUUGGGAGUUAGGGGUGGAAGUUAGAAUCUUUCUU
rnacentral:tRNA from 1 species